UGCUCAAAGGCACUGGCCACUUCUUGAU
rnacentral:piRNA from 1 species